rnacentral:rRNA from 1 species
GAUGAACGCUGGCGGCGUGCCUAACACAUGCAAGUCGAGCGAUCUUCUUCGGAAGAGAGCGGCGGACGGGUGAGUAACGCGCGGGUAACCUGCCCUGUACACGCGGAUAACCUACCGAGAGGUAUGCUAAUACGGGACACCAUAAGUAAAUCGCAUGUUUUUCUUAUCAAAGCUCCGGCGGUACAGGAUGGACCCGCGUCUGAUUAGCUAAUUGGUGAGGAAACGGCUUACCAAGGCGACAAUCAGUAGCCGACCUGAGAGGGUGAGCGGCGACAUUGGAACUGAGACACGGUCCAAACUCCUACGGGAGGCAGCAGUGGGGAAUAUUGCACAAUGGGCGAAAGCCUGAUGCAGCAACGCCGCGUGAGCGAUGAAGGCCUUCGGGUCGUAAAGCUCUGUCCUCAAGGAAGAUAAUGACGGUACUUGAGGAGGAAGCCCCGGCUAACUACGUGCCAGCCGCCGCAGUAA